ACACUAAAUUCAUUCUUAUCUAAAUAUAUCUCAGUCUUCAGACAAGAGAGAAAGAGGUUGCUGGUAUUUGGAGUCAGAGGGACAAAAUGCAGAAGAGAGAAGGCAAAGAAGCUUGACCUGUCAGAUAUUGGGGAGAAAAACAUUUGUGACUUAAGUCAGGACUUCUGACAUUUUACUUAUCAGAUGAGAAAAACUAUGAAGGUCCUGCCUUCUGGAAAACAAUACCUAAACUAAAGGGAUGGCUUUAGUUAUCGAAAUUUCAGGCACUGAGUCAGGUCAGUGAAGGAGCAAAUAUUUGGGAACCAACACACUCUCAAAUUACCCAAGAGGCCAUAAUCCAGGGCUUUGUCAUGUAAGAUAAGGAAGGACAGGAAAAGGAGGAUCACAUGUCAUAUAUUCCCCCCCCAAAAAAAAAUGUAAGACCAUAAUUCCUGAGAAGACAAGAAGAAAACUUUUUUUGAGUAAAAAUGGAAUAAAUCCUACGGCUGGUAUACAAGCACAGAAGUUGAGGCAGACAAAAUCCUGUCAAGUUGGCGGAAGCGAAAACAUUUUCUUGGAAAGUGGUCACCUUCAAGAAGCCAACGAAAAAGCAUCAAUGAGUACAUGCACAUCUGAAAAGAGGAGGCAAUUACUGAUCUUCCUCUGGAUGAGAAAAUAGAAGACUGAAUACAACAUUUUUAGCCAAAAGAAAAUUGUCCUCCAAAGCUACUGUAAUUAAAACAAAGACCUUUCGUCUCUAUCUUCUCCAAAUGAAAUCUGAAGAACUAAAAAGAAAUCCCCAAGAUACUCCUGAUUCUUUCCUUCUCACAUCUGUUCAGGUCUUUCAUUAUCAACACCUAAGGGGCCCAAUAGAAAAUCACAGAUAUUUCAGCAUGUUCCCUACAGGCUUCUACACCAAGAAACUGAGAUGAAAAGAAAUCAAAAGACAUACUUUGAGUAAUGAGUACAAAAGCACACAAUAAAGAACUUUCACAUACCAUCUCAAA